rnacentral:miRNA from 1 species
GAAUACAGAGAGAGAGAGAGAGAGAGAGAGAGAGAGAAGACAACACUGACUAGCAGGGGCCCUUCUCUCUCUCUCUCUCUCUCUCUCUCUCUCUCUCUC